UAUUUAAUUUUUUCCUUUUCUUUGCUAUGCUCAAAAGCCUUCUACACUAAAACCCACCCAAAACCCACUAUUGUAAUCACCUUUGAACACUCCAUUUCUCUGCUUGAUCAUGUCCCAAUCACUGAAGCUAAUCAGGGAACAUGCCUCCAACCCCAAAUUCUGGUUGAUAAUCGGAGUAGGAGUUGCCGGAAUAGCGGUUCUGGUGGAGACACGGCGUAGAACACGGCGGAAUAAAACACUCAAAAAAGACUUUGGUGCUUUUGUUGAGCGCUUUGAGAUACUUCCCUUUCCUCAGCUUCCUCCUCCUGCUGCCAAACAAUCGCUCUCUGCUCUAACGUUUGCCAUAAACGAAACAUUUGAUGUUAAAGGCUAUGUGACGGGGUUUGGAAAUCCUACGUGGAAGAGUACACACAAGGCAGCGGAGAAGACUGCGGUUGUGGUGACUGCUCUGCUCAAGAGUGGGGCCACUUGUGUUGGCAAGACUGUUGUGGAUGAAUUCUCUUUUGGGAUUUCUGGUGAGAACAAGUAUUAUGGAACUCCAACUAAUCCUCGAAUGCCAUCAUGUACACCAGGAGGGUCUUCUUGUGGUUCAGCAGUGGCAGUUGCUGCAGGGCUUGUGGACUUUGCCGUUGGUACUGAUACUGUAGGAUGUGUGAGGAUUCCAGCAGCAUUCUGUGGUAUUUUUGGUUUUCGACCAUCCCAUGGGGCUGUAUCCACCAUUGGAGUUCUUCCAAAUGCACAAAGCUUAGACACUAUUGGAUGGUUUGCUUGUGAUCCAUCUAUCCUACAUCGUGUUGGACAAGUUUUACUUCAAUUGAGUUCAGUGGAGACCAAAAGGUCCAGGCGAAUCAUAUUUGCUGAUGAUCUUUUUCAGUUAUCCACAAUUCCUACACAGAGGACAAUACAUGUUAUUGGUAAAGCUAUUGAGAAUAUGUCUGGGUAUCAGGAUCCAAAGCAUUUGAAUCUCUGUCAGUACAUUGAAUCUAAGGUGCCCAGUCUAAGGCUUCAUGAGCAAUCAACACACCAGCAAAAUGAAACAUCUAUACUGAAAACUCUCUCUUCUGUUAUGCUUUUAUUACAAGGGUAUGAAUUUAAGACCAAUCAUGAAGAAUGGGUUAAAUCACUCAAAUUCAAGUUAGGUCGUGGUGUGUCUGAUCAUGUUAUUGCAGCCAUUAAUACUGUAUAUGAUAAUAUAAAAGCAUUGUAUAAAGUCAGGACUGAAAUGCGAGGAGCUUUUCAAAGUCUAUUAAAGGAUGAUGGAAUACUAGUUAUCCCUACUGUAUCAGACAACCAAUUAAAGCUUAAUACAAUGAAAGGUUUUUCUUCUGAGUUCCACGACAGAACAUUUGCAUUAUCGAGCAUUGCUAGUGUAUCUGGAUGUUGUCAGGUUACAAUUCCAUUAGGAUAUCAUGAUGGUUGUUGUGUGUCUGUUUCAUUCGUCUCUUUCCAUGGAGCUGAUAAAUUUCUUUUGGAUACAGUCUUGGAUAUUUAUUCAACUCUUCGAGAACGAGUUAGUGUUGGUUCUGAUUUGUUGUCAUUACCUGAUAUUAGUGCCAACAGGGAAACUUCUGAACUUUUAAAAGAGAAGACUUUGAUAUCAUCUUAGAAAGAGAGCAAGUGCCAACAACUAUGAAGGCAACAAUGACGACAAUGGUCGUGGCUCAUGAGUGUUGCGAUGCCAACAAUGGUGAAGUUUUCUGUAAGUGUUUCGAUGGUUGUUGGGGACAACAAUGAUUGUUUUUUGUCAGCAACAUCAAAGUCAGGAGGUGUUAGUAAAUCUUGUUCAUUUUUUAUUUUGUGAUGGGAACCAUGUGGAACAAAAGGGUCAGGUGUUGCGCUUUAGUUUUUGGGUCAGGUUGGGUCCUUUUUAGCCUACAAUAGGCUGUUGAAUAAUAGCUUCACAAUAUGGGAAGGACCAAUGCGGCACAUGAUUCUGCAUUUCAAUGAGCAUCAUUGCUAUCUUCAGUGAUCCAUACCUCCCCCGAUCUGGCAUUUGCAUCAACUUGUGGCAUUCUUCGGACUAGCAGGGUUGUGCGAGUUUACUUACAAUUUGAACAAUAAGUUUUAGACCUAACUUACAAAAAAACUUAUAAGGUGAGAUCCACACUCACUUAUAUAUUAUAAUUUGAUCAUGUCUUUAGUUGAUAUGGGAUCUCUAACGGAUAAGAUGUGAACAAAAGUUAUUGAUUUUGUAUCUAUUUCUAGUAGUUAGCAAAUGCUAACUUAAUGGGUCUAUAGUAUCAACUUAUAUUUUAUUUUCUGAAGUAGUAAGCAAGAAGAGUUGGACACAAUACCAUUGACAGUAUUGGUGUACUUGCCUUAGUGAAAACUCACUAGCUUUGCUUGGUUUAAUUUAAAGAUCAGUUCUGUCGAAUUUGAACUUGAAUGUUAUGCCUAACUAAUUUGUCCUGCCUUAUAUAUUUUUGGCUUUUGGUUUGGACCAUUUGUCAGCUAGCCUUGAGUUUCUCCAGCAGCCCAUUCACUUAUAGAACUGGAUCUAACAGCUCUACAAGAUCAAAACCGAAUCUGUAAAAACUAUUGUUCUAAAGGUAUUUAGACCAUUUGGAGUAUGAAAUGGAGUAUGAAGUCCAAAACAGAUCUUAAGGGAAAUGCAGCAUUCAAAGAAAAGCAGUGGAGUAAGGCACUCAGUUACUACACCGAGGCAAUCAAAUUGAAUGGGACGAAUUCAACGUACUAUUGCAAUCGAGCAGCUGCUCACUUAAAGUUAGGAUGCUUUCAGCACGCUGCAGAAGACUGCAGUAAGGCAAUAUUGCUUGAUAAAAUGAAUGUGAAAGCAUAUCUGAGACGUGGAGCUGCUAAAGAAUCACUACUACGUUAUGAAGAGGCACUUG